AUUGAACGCUGGCGGGAUGCUUUACACAUGCAAGUCGAACGGUAACAGGCCUUCGGGUGCUGACGAGUGGCGAACGGGUGAGUAAUGCAUCGGAACGUGCCCAGAGGUGGGGGAUAACGCAGCGAAAGCUGUGCUAAUACCGCAUGUGAUCUGAGGAUGAAAGCGGGGGACCAAGCAGCAAUGUUUGGCCUCGCGCCUCUGGAGCGGCCGAUGUCAGAUUAGGUAGUUGGUGGGGUAAAGGCCUACCAAGCCGACGAUCUGUAGCUGGUCUGAGAGGACGACCAGCCACACUGGGACUGAGACACGGCCCAGACUCCUACGGGAGGCAGCAGUGGGGAAUUUUGGACAAUGGGCGCAAGCCUGAUCCAGCAAUGCCGCGUGCGGGAAGAAGGCCUUCGGGUUGUAAACCGCUUUUGUACGGAACGAGAAGGCUCUGGCUAAUACCUGGGGCUGAUGACGGUACCGUAAGAAUAAGCACCGGCUAACUACGUG
rnacentral:rRNA from 1 species